GGAAAAUAUCCACCGUCCACCUGUUUUUUACACCUUUUUCAAAAAUACACAAUUCCUUCAUUUUUUGGCUGGAAUCCACCUAAAGUUACAUUUUGUUUCACUUUUCCACUUCUGUUUGGAAUCCGUUAAGAAAACUAACGGAAACUUAAAAAAAUGACCAUUUUACCCCCAAAACGAAAAUUAAUGAGAGGAUAAAAGAAAUUGUAAUUUUUAAUUUUUAAUCUAAUUAUUUUUAAGGUGAAAUUGUAAUUUUUAAUUUUUAAUCUAAUCAUAAAAGAAAUUAAAAUUUAAUCUAAUUAUUUUUGGUAAUUUUUAAGGUGAAAUUGUAAUUUUUGUUUUACCCCCAAAACAAAAAUUAAUGAGAGGAUAAAAGAAAUUGUAAUUUUUAAUUUUUAAUUUUUAAUCUAAUUAUUUUUAAGGUGAAAUUGUAAUUUUUAAUUUUUAAUCUAAUCAUAAAAGAAAUUAAAAUUUAAUCUAAUUAUUUUUGGUAAUUUUUAAGGUGAAAUUGUAAUUUUCGUUUUGGGGGUAAAAUGGUCAUUUUUUUAAGUUUCCGUUAGUUUUCUUAACGGAUUCCAAACGGAAGUGGAAAAGUGAAA
rnacentral:lncRNA from 1 species